rnacentral:rRNA from 1 species
GCUCUUUUGGGUCUUGUAAUUGGAAUGAGUACAAUUUAAAUCCCUUAACGAGGAACAAUUGGAGGGCAAGUCUGGUGCCAGCAGCCGCGGUAAUUCCAGCUCCAAUAGCGUAUAUUAAAGUUGUUGUGGUUAAAAAGCUCGUAGUUGAACCUUGGGCCUGGCUGGCCGGUCCGCCUCACCGCGUGUACUGGUCCGGCCGGGCCUUUCCCUCUGUGGAACCCCAUGCCCUUCACUGGGUGUGGCGGGGAAACAGGACUUUUACUUUGAAAAAAUUAGAGUGCUCCAGGCAGGCCUAUGCUCGAAUACAUUUGCAUGGAAUAAUAGAAUAGGACGUGUGGUUCUAUUUUGUUGGUUUCUAGGACCGCCGUAAUGAUUAAUGGACAGUCGGGGGCAUCAGUAUUCAAUUGUCAGAGGUGAAAUUCUUGGAUUUAUUGAAGACUAACUACUGCGAAAGCAUUUGCCAAGGAUGUUUUCAUUAAUCAGGAACGAAAGUUAGGGGAUCGAAGACGAUCAGAUACCGUCGUAGUCUUAACCAUAAACUAUGCCGACUAGGGAUCGGACGAUGUUAUUUUUUGACUCGUUCGGCACCUUACGAGAAAUCAAAGUGCUUGGGCUCCAGGGGGAGUAUGGUCGCAAGCUGAAACUUAAAGAAAUUGACGGAAGGGCACCACCAGGGGUGGAGCCUGCGGCUUAAUUUGACACAACACGGGGAAACUCACCAGGUCCAGACACAAUGAGGAUUGACAGAUUGAGAGCUCUUUCUUGAUUUUGUGGGUGGUGGUGCAUGGCCGUUCUUAGUUGGUGGAGUGAUUUGUCUGCUUAAUUGCGAUAACGAACGAGACCUUAACCUGCUAAAUAGCCCGUAUUGCUUUGGCAGUACGCUGGCUUCUUAGAGGGACUAUCGGCUCAAGCCGAUGGAAGUUUGAGGCAAUAACAGGUCUGUGAUGCCCUUAGAUGUUCUGGGCCGCACGCGCGCUACACUGACGGAGCCAGCGAGUUCUCCCUUUGCCGGAAGGUCCGGGUAAUCUUGUUAAACUCCGUCGUGCUGGGGAUAGAGCAUUGCAAUUAUUGCUCUUCAACGAGGAAUCCCUAGUAAGCGCAAGUCAUCAGCUUGCGUUGAUUACGUCCCUGCCCUUUGUACACACCGCCCGUCGCUACUACCGAUUGAAUGGCUCAGUGAGGCGUCCGGACUGGCCCAGAGAGGUGGGCAACUACCCCUCAGGGCCGGAAAGCUCUCCAAACUCGGUCAUUUAGAGGAAGUAAAAGUCGUAACAAGGUCUCCGUUGGUGAACCAGCGGAGG